rnacentral:rRNA from 1 species
CCUACGUGAGGCAGCAGUGGGGAAUAUUGGGCAAUGGAGGAAACUCUGACCCAGCAACGCCGCGUGAAUGAUGAAGGUCUUCGGAUUGUAAAGUUCUUUUCUAAGGGAAGAAGAAAGUGACGGUACCUUAGGAAUAAGCCUCGGCUAACUACGUGCCAGCAGCCGCGGUAAUACGUAGGAGGCAAGCGUUAUCCGGAUUUAUUGGGUUUAAAGGGUGCGCAGGCGGUCUGUUAAGUCAGAGGUAAAAGCCCGGGGCUCAACCCCGGCCCGCCGUUGAAACUGGCAGUCUCGAGUUGGAGAGAAGUAUGCGGAAUGCGCGGUGUAGCGGUGAAAUGCAUAGAUAUCGCGCAGAACUCCGAUUGCGAAGGCAGCAUGCCGGCUCCACACUGACGCUGAGGCACGAAAGCGUGGGUAUCGAACAGGAUUAGAUACCCUUGUAGUC